UCGAGAAUUUUUCACAAUGGGCGAAAGCCUGAUGGAGCGACGCCGCGUGGGGGAUGAAUGGCUUCGGCCCGUAAACCCCUGUCAUUUGCGAUCAACCGUUGUUGUUUAAGAGAUGACAACCUGAUAGUAGCGAAAGAGGAAGGGACGGCUAACUCUGUGCCAGCAGCCGCGGUAAUACAGAGGUCCCAAGCGUUGUUCGGAUUCACUGGGCGUAAAGGGUGCGUAGGUGGUGACGUAAGUCGGAUGUGAAAUCUCGGAGCUCAACUCCGAAAUGGCAUUGGAAACUGCGUCGCUUGAGGGGCGGAGGGGGGACUGGAAUUCUCUGUGUAGCAGUGAAAUGCGUAGAUAUCGAGAGGAACACCAGUGGCGGAGGCGAGUCCCUGGACGACUCCUGACACUGAGGCACGAAAGCUAGGGGAGCAAACA
rnacentral:rRNA from 1 species